rnacentral:sRNA from 1 species
AACAAGCUUCCCGUCCGGUCCAGUUCUCAAUUCACUCAUACCAGUUACAGGUAAGCCAACUCCA